rnacentral:rRNA from 1 species
UACGUAGGUGGCAAGCGUUGUCCGGAAUUAUUGGGCGUAAAGCGCGCGCAGGCGGUCCUUUAAGUCUGAUGUGAAAGCCCCCGGCUCAACUGGGGAGGGUCACGCGAUACUGAUCGACUCGAAGGCAGGAGAGGGUAGUGGAAUUCCCGGUGUAGUGGUGAAAUGCGUAGAUAUCGGGAGGAACACCAGUGGCGAAGGCGACUACCUGGCCUGUUCUUGACGCUGAGGCGCGAAAGCUGGGGGAGCAAACGGGG